UGGGGAAUUUUGGACAAUGGGGGAAACCCUGAUCCAGCCAUCCCGCGUGUGCGAUGAAGGCCUUCGGUUGUGAAAGCACUUUUGGCAGGAAAGAAACGUCGCGGGUUAAUACCCCGCGAAACUGACGGUACCUGCAGAAUAAGCACCGGCUAACUACGUGCCAGCAGCCGCGGUAAUACGUAGGGUGCAAGCGUUAAUCGGAAUUACUGGGCGUAAAGCGUGCGCAGGCGGUUCGGAAAGAAAGAUGUGAAAUCCCAGAGCUUAACUUUGGAACUGCAUUUUUAACUACCCGGGCUAGAGUGUGUCAGAGGGAGGUGGAAUUCCGCGUGUAGCAGUGAAAUGCGUAGAUAUGCGGAGGAACACCGAUGGCGAAGGCAGCCUCCUGGGAUAACACUGACGCUCAUGCACGAAAGCGUGGGGAGCAAACAGGAUUAGAUACCCUGGUAGUCCACGCCCCUAAACGAUGUCAACUAGCUGUUGGGGCCUUCGGGCCUUGGUAGCGCAGCUAACGCGUGAAGUUGACCGCCUGGGGAGUACGGUCGCAAGAUUAAAACUCAAAUGAAUUGAC
rnacentral:rRNA from 1 species